GUAAAUCUCAAAAGGAUCCAUCCAGCAAAGGCAUACAAAAUGCUAAAGACAACAGUGGUAACGGUCAAUAUCAAAAAGAUUCAUCUGGAAAGGACAAAACAAAUGCUGCUGGUCACAUUUACAGUACCCCUUGUCUUUACACUGUCAAUGCCAUCACAAGAAGUCGUAACAACCCAA